rnacentral:rRNA from 1 species
UACAGAGGUCUCAAGCGUUGUUCGGAUUCAUUGGGCGUAAAGGGUGUGUAGGUGGCGCGCUAAGUCGGGUGUGAAAUUUCGGAGCUUAACUCCGAAACUGCAUUCGAUACUGGCGUGCUUGAGGACUGGAGAGGAGACUGGAAUUCAUGGUGUAGCAGUGAAAUGCGUAGAUAUCAAGUGGAACACCAGUGGCGAAGGCGAGUCCCUGGACAACUCCUGACACUGAGGCACGAAAGCUAGGGGAGCAAACAGG